GACGAGGGACCCUAGCGUUGUUCGGAAUCAUUGGGCGUAAAGCGGGUGUAGGUGGCUUUGUAAGUCAGGUGUGAAAUCCCAGGGGCUCAACCCUGGACGUGCAUUUGAUACUGCGAAGCUUGAGUGUAGGAGAGGAUAGUAGAAUUCCCGGUGUAGUGGUGGAAUGCGUAGAUAUCGGGAGGAACACCAGUGGCGAAGGCGGUUGCCUGGAGCUUUGCUGACGCUGAUGCGCGAA
rnacentral:rRNA from 1 species